rnacentral:rRNA from 1 species
CACGUAGUUAGCCGUCCCUUUCUGGUAAGAUACCGUCACAGUGUGAACUUUCCACUCUCACACUCGUUCUUCUCUUACAACAGAGCUUUACGAUCCGAAAACCUUCUUCACUCACGCGGCGUUGCUCGGUCAGACUUCCGUCCAUUGCCGAAGAUUCCCCUACUGCUGCCUCCCGUAGGAGUCUGGGCCCGUGUCUCAGUCCCAGUGUGGCCGAUCACCCUCUCAGGUCGGCUAUGUAUCGUUGCCUUGGUGAGCCGUUACCUCACCAACUAGCUAAUACAACGCAGGUCCAUCUGGUAGUGAUGCAAUUGCACCUUUUAAGCAAAUGUCAUGCAACAUCUACUAUUAUGCGGUAUUAGCUAUCGUUUUCCCAAUAGUUAUCCCCCACUACCAGGCAGGUUACCUACGCGUUACUCACCCGUUCGCAACUCAUCCGGAAAGAGCAAGCUCCUCCUUCAGCGUUCUACUUGCAUGUAUUAGGCACGCCGCCAGCGUCGUCC